GCUGGAACGGUGCUUAAUACUUGAUUCUCAGCAGCAACAAAAUUUUGUGUGGCUGGAACGUUUGGCAGCAGCAAUAUUUCUCUUUGAANAAUGUUGUUGUUGAUGGGAAUUGGAUGAAUAAGAAGCUGAAUUUUAUUUUCCUUUUCUCUCUUUAUGUUUUCAAUUAGAAAAGUUCCAUUUGAUUUCAAACAAGCAUUGUCUCAUUGGCAUUUGAUUCCAGCGUUAAUUGGUGCAGCACAUCUUGGGUGGUGCAGAUUUCAUUUAGAAGUAGUUGCAUGUGCUAAUUCCAUUUGCCAUUUACAAUGUUUUCUAUUUACUUCAUAACUUCAUUGCAUGAAUGGUGGGACCGGUGAUUAGAUGUGUGCUUGCUUUCAUUUCAUUUUAAAGUGAAGAAUUGAUGAGAUGGGAUUAAGUGAUGUUGUCCACGGUACUUGGAGCUGNAGCAAGGCAUGUGCUAGUCUUUAUUUUGCUUUCAUAAUUUAAAGAGUAGAUUAUGUGAGAGUAUUUGGUGAUGGGACAUGGUGCAGUGGUUUACUCAUUUAAAUCUUUUCUUUUUAUUAGUACAUGAAAUUAGAAUUAGAUUAGAUGGAAUAGGAUGUGACGGUAGGUAGUUGUAGGUAUANCUAGGUUCUUUUCUUUUAUUUAUUUAAGAAUGAAGAGGUGAUUAGAUGGGAUUAAAUACAUGGUGUACGGUGGUGAUGUUGAGAGAAGAAAAUUGCUUGGAGACGCCUAGGCAAGCUCACGGCCAGCAGCAGAAAGUUGGCACGGCUGAUUUCUUUGCUUCCAUUCAACCAAAGUGGCAUCUUCCUUUAUUUAUUUUUCUUUUUUUUUUUUGAAGCGCUGGGCACAUAAGCUAUUGCAAGCAGAGACUUUUUUUUUUUUGGAAUGUGCAAACGGAAUUGGUUCAAAUGCUGCAUGCACAUUGUUUUAAUUUUCUGAAGAAGUUUACGGCCAUUUGGGUACUUNAAUAAUUUAUUGAUUCUAGCACAUGGUUAUGGGUAAUGGUAAAAUAGAUUUAUGCUUUCUNAUUCCUUUUGCCUUAGACUAUUCUACAUUAAAUGUUGCAUAAUUUUUCAUCUUUUCAAUUUAAUCUUAUAUUUUAAUAGCUUUAGUUAUGUUUGGAUAUUUGUAUGUUGUAGUGUUAGGUUUAUCAUUUUAUUUUACUUUAA
rnacentral:lncRNA from 1 species